rnacentral:tRNA from 1 species
GCCCUUGUAGUAUAGACCAAUACACCGGUCUUGUAAACCAGAGACGGAGAAAUUUUCUUCCUAGGGCA